rnacentral:rRNA from 1 species
GACGAACGCUGGCGGCGUGCUUAACACAUGCAAGUCGAACGGAAAGGCGCGGCUUUUGCUGGGUGCUCGAGAGGCGAACGGGGGAGUAACACGUGAGUAACCUGCCCUUGACUUUGGGAUAACUUCAGGAAACUGGGGCGAAUAUCGGAUAGGAGCUCCUGCUGCAUGGGGGGGGUUGGAAAGUUUCGGCGGUUUGGGAUGGAAUCGCGGCUUAUCAGCUGGUUGGUGGGGUAGGGGCUGACCAGGGCUUUGACGGGUAGGCGGCCUGAGAGCGUGACCGGCGACAUUGGGACUGAGGUACGGCCCAGACUCCUACGGGAGGCAGCAGUGGGGAGUAUUGCACAAUGGGCGGAAGCCUGAUGCAGCAACGCCGCGUGCGGGAUGACGGCCUUCGGGUUGUAAACCGCUUUGGCAUGUGACGAAGCGUUAGUGACGGUAAUGGGUAAAGAAGCACCGGCUAACUACGUG